rnacentral:rRNA from 1 species
AUGUUUAAUUCUCACGCUGUAAGGAAUGAACAAAUCGAAUUGAAACGGGUGGUCAGCAAACACACGGCACGUACGUCCGUGGCUGCCGAAACAAGACACAAGCACACGAGUGCCAUGCACUCUGCACUGCCCUCACCGGGCCGCGACGCCCCCCGGCCCUCCGGAUGUGCGCGCAUAUCAGCCGCGGCAGCCAUUUUGGGCGUGGCAUCCGCGCGAGUAGGGGUUGGCCUCCUCCGGCUUAUACCCCACACCCGUCGCCUUGAGCACGCGCGCCGUGGUGGUCUCCGGCUGCGUCGCUUCCGCCGCCGUCGCGUGGGCCUCCUGCAGGCCCGCCAUCAGCAGGCAGCCGGCCAGCAGCAGGGCCGCCAGCCCCAGACGCACGCGCAGCGCCUUGCUCUCCAUGAACGACCAGAGAUCUAUCAGUGUAGCUACUAG